rnacentral:lncRNA from 1 species
CUCUCCUCUAUAGGUUGACCGGAGCAAAACACCAAACCGCGACUCGCAUUGGAGGAGUCGUCACACCCGAUACCUCCGUCGCUGGUAAGUCUUGGUUUUUUAGAUUUUUUUGGCCCACCGAGGGCCCUAGGGGUGUUUUAUCACAGGAACCAAUGCAAGUUUGGCCGAAUUCGGUCGAAAAUGGUCGAAAACGGUCAACCCGAGGCGAAUCACUGCCGCAAGCGGCGGCACCAUCGCCGAAGCACAGCGAAGCCGCCGUGCCAAAAUUCUGAAAUUGGCCGAAUAGGCCCUAGGUCUGAUUUGGGGUUUUUGAGGACAUGUGCAGGUACCGGAA